rnacentral:rRNA from 1 species
AUUGAACGCUGGCGGAAUGCUUUACACAUGCAAGUCGAACGGUAGAGGGGGCAACCCCUCGAGAGUGGCGAACGGGUGAGUAAUAUAUCGGAACGUGCCCAGUCGUGGGGGAUAACGUAGCGAAAGUUACGCUAAUACCGCAUACGAUCUAAGGAUGAAAGCGGGGGAUCGCAAGACCUCGCGCGAUUGGGGCGGCCGAUAUCAGAUUAGGUAGUUGGUGGGGUAAAGGCUCACCAAGCCUACGAUCUGUAGCUGGUCUGAGAGGACGACCAGCCACACUGGAACUGAGACACGGUCCAGACUCCUACGGGAGGCAGCAGUGGGGAAUUUUGGACAAUGGACGCAAGUCUGAUCCAGCCAUUCCGCGUGCAGGAUGAAGGCCCUCGGGUUGUAAACUGCCUUUGUACGGAACGAAAAGGUCUCUCUUAAUACGGGGGACUCAUGACGGUACCGUAAGAAUAAGCACCGGCUAACUACGUGCCAGCAGCCGCCGCAGUAA